rnacentral:rRNA from 2 species
GUUGUAAGGUUAAGUAAUGAAGCGUACAGGGAGGAUGCCUAGGCAGUCAGAGGCGAAGAAGGGCGUGUUAAUCUGCGAAAAGCGACGGUAAGCUGAUAAAAAGCGUGUUAGCCGUCGAUACCCGAAUGGGGCAACCCAGUGCAGAAUAUGCACUAUCGUGAUAUGAAUAAAAUAGUAUUGCGAGGCAAACCAGGGGAAUUGAAACAUCUCAGUACCCUGAGGAAAAGAAAUCAACCGAGAUUCCCUAAGUAGCGGCGAGCGAAAGGGGAGGAGCCCUGAGUCAUCAACAUCUUUGCGCAGUUAGGGGAAUCGUUUGGGAAGACGAGCCAUAGAGGGUGAUGGCCCCGUACCUGAAAAUUGUAGCAGAGUAGACUCGAUAGAGUAGGACGGGACACGUGAUAUCCUGUUUGAAGAUGGGGGGACCAUCCUCCAAGGCUAAAUACUCCUGACUGACCGAUAGUGAACCAGUACCGUGAGGGAAAGGCGAAAAGAACCCCGGGAGGGGAGUGAAAUAGACCCUGAAACCCUGUACGUACAAGCAGUGGGAGCUUCAAAGCAAUGAGAAGUGACUGCGUACCUUUUGUAUAAUGGGUCAGCGACUUAUAUUUUGUAGCAAGGUUAACCGAAUAGGGGAGCCGAAGGGAAACCGAGUCUUAACUGGGCGAUGAGUUGCAAGGUAUAGACCCGAAACCUAGUGAUCUAGCCAUGUGCAGGUUGAAGAUGUGUUAAUCCACAUUGGAGGACCGAACCGACUUAUGUUGAAAAAUGAGCGGAUGACAUGUGGCUGGGGGUGAAAGGCCAAUCAAACUAGGAGAUAGCUGGUUCUCCCCGAAAGCUAUUUAGGUAGCGCCUCGUGGGUUUAUCUUCGGGGGUAGAGCGCUGUUUUGGCUAGGGGGCCAUCCCGGCUUACCAACCCAAUGCAAACUGUGAAUACCGAAGAAUAUGACCACGGGAGACACACGGCGGGUGCUAACGUCCGUCGUGGAGAGGGAAACAACCCAGACCGCCAGCUAAGGUCCCGAAGUCAUGGUUAAGUGGGAAACGAUGUGGGAAGGCUUAGACAGCCAGGAUGUUGGCUUAGAAGCAGCCAUCAUUGAAAGAAAGCGUAAUAGCUCACUGGUCGAGUCGGCCUGCGCGGAAGAUGUAACGGGGCUAAACCAUGCACCGAAGCUGCGGAUGCGUGCAAACGCAUGGUAGGGGAGCGUUCUGUAAGCCGAAGAAGAAGCUCUGAGAAGGGUUUUGGAGGUAUCAGAAGUGCGAAUGCUGACAUGAGUAACGAUAAAGCGGGUGAAAAGCCCGCUCGCCGAAAGACUGAGGUUUCCUGUCCAACGUUCAUCGGGGCAGGGUAAGUCGACCCCUAAGGCGAGGCUGAAAAGCGUAGUCGAUGGGAAACAGGUUAAGAUUCCUGUACUGAGUAUUACUGCGAAGGGGGGACGAAGAGGGCUAGGCAAUCCGGGGGCCGGUUGUCCCGGUUCAAGCGUGUAGGAGGAUGAGCCAGGCAAAUCCGGCGAAUCAGGUUAAACCUAACUCUGAGGCGUGAUGAGGAUUGCCCUUAUGGGGUAAGGAGUUGCUGAUGCCGAACUUCCAGGAAAAGCCUCUAAGCACCAGGUAAUAGUCAAUCGUACCGAAAACCGACACAGGUAGUCAGGUAGAGAAUACUAAGGCGCUUGAGAGAACUCGGGUGAAGGAACUAGGCAAAAUGGUGCCGUAACUUCGGGAGAAGGCACGCUGGCGUUAGGUGAAGGGACAUGCUUCUGGAGCCGAGGCCAGCCGCAGAGACCAGCUAGCUGCAACUGUUUAUUAAAAACACAGCACUGUGCCAACACGUAAGUGGACGUAUACGGUGUGACGCCUGCCCGGUGCCGGAAGGUUAAUUGAUGGUGUGAGUGUCAAAGCAAAGCACUUGAUAGAAGCCCCGGUAAACGGCGGCCGUAACUAUAACGGUCCUAAGGUAGCGAAAUUCCUUGUCGGGUAAGUUCCGACCUGCACGAAUGGCGUAAUGAUGGCUAGGCUGUCUCCACCCGAGACUCAGUGAAAUUGAAUUUGCUGUGAAGAUGCAGUGUUCCCGCGGCAAGACGGAAAGACCCCGUGAACCUUUACUAUAGCUUGACACUGAAUAUGAAACCUUAAUGUGUAGGAUAGGUGGGAAGCGAAGAAGCGUAGACGCCAGUCUAUGUGGAGCUGCUGUUGAAAUACCACCCUUUGAUGUUUGAUAUUCUAACUUGGUCCCGUUAUCCGGGGUGAGGACAGUGUCUGGUGGGUAGUUUGACUGGGGCGGUCUCCUCCUAAAGAGUAACGGAGGAGUACGAAGGUCAGCUCAUCACGGUCGGACAUCGUGAGGUGAGUGCAAAGGCAUAAGCUGGCUUGACUGCGAGAGUGACGGCUCGAGCAGGUACGAAAGUAGGUCUUAGUGAUCCGGUGGUUCUGAAUGGAAGGGCCAUCGCUCAACGGAUAAAAGGUACUCCGGGGAUAACAGGCUGAUACCGCCCAAGAGUUCAUAUCGACGGCGGUGUUUGGCACCUCGAUGUCGGCUCAUCACAUCCUGGGGCUGAAGUAGGUCCCAAGGGUAUGGCUGUUCGCCAUUUAAAGUGGUACGCGAGCUGGGUUUAGAACGUCGUGAGACAGUUCGGUUCCUAUCUGCCGUGGGCGUAGGAAGAUUGAGGGGGGCUGCUCCUAGUACGAGAGGACCGGAGUGGACGCAUCACUGGUGUACGGGUUGUCAUGCCAAUGGCAUUGCCCGGUAGCUAAAUGCGGAAGAGAUAACCGCUGAAAGCAUCUAAGCGGGAAACUUGCCCCAAGAUGAGUCUUCCCUGCAAUACCUUGUGUUGAGGCGCAAGAGAUUGUGUUGAGGCGCAAGAGAUUGUGUUGAGGCGCAAGAGAUUGCGUGAAGGGACGUUAGAGACGAUGACGUUGAUAGGCUGGGAGUGUAAGUGCAGCGAUGUAUUCAGCAGACCAGUACUAAUGACCCGAGAGGCUUAACCUUACAACACCGAAACUGUU